CUUUGCGGAGCGUGGCGGGGAAGCCGAUGCAAAGGAGAGCGUCGGUUGCCUCUUGAAUCGUCAUGAGAGCUUUGUAGCUCUCCAGGUGGUCGAUUGGGUCGGUGGAGCUGUCAUAGGGCUCCACGUGCGGCAUCUUGAACCGACUGGGGAUCGGUUCGUCGAGGAUGAGUCGGGAGAGAGGUUGGGCGGUCUGGAAGUCGACAUCGUUUGAAGACUUCUGCCC
rnacentral:lncRNA from 1 species